rnacentral:rRNA from 1 species
UACCAUGGUUUUAACGGGUAACGGGGAAUUAGGGUUCGAUUCCGGAGAGGGAGCCUGAGAAACGGCUACCACAUCCAAGGAAGGCAGCAGGCGCGCAAAUUACCCAAUCCCGACACGGGGAGGUAGUGACAAUAAAUAACAAUAUGGGGCUCUUACGAGUCUUGUAAUUGGAAUGAGUACAAUUUAAAUCUCUUAACGAGGAACAAUUGGAGGGCAAGUCUGGUGCCAGCAGCCGCGGUAAUUCCAGCUCCAAUAGCGUAUAUUAAAGUUGUUGCAGCUAAAAAGCUCGUAGUUGAAUUUCGGGAUUUACCCGUCGGUCGGGCUUUUGGGUCUGUACUGGCGUGAUGGAUUCCUACCUUCUGAAUAACUGGCAUGUCAUUAAUUUGGUGCGCCGGGGAAGCAGGACUGUUACCUUGAAAAAAUUAGAGUGCUUAAAGCAGGCUUAUGCCUGAAUACAUUAGCAUGGAAUAAUGAAAUAGGACGGCAUGGUUCUAUUUUGUUGGUUUCUAGGAUCACCGUAAUGAUUAAUAGGGAUAGUUGGGGGCAUUAGUAUUCAAUUGUCAGAGGUGAAAUUCUUGGAUUUAUUGAAGACUAACUUCUGCGAAAGCAUUUGCCAAGGAUGUUUUCAUUAAUCAAGAACGAAAGUUAGGGGAUCGAAGACGAUCAGAUACCGUCGUAGUCUUAACCAUAAACUAUGCCGACUAGGGAUCGGACGAUGUUAAUUUUCUAAUGACUCGUUCGGCGCCUUACGGGAAACCAAAGUGUUU